AAAGUUAAACAUUAUAUUAUAUGGUUUAUAUUUGAAUUUGGAUCUAGUGAUUAGGGUUUACAGUUUAGUGUUUAGGGGUUGGGUUUAGUAUUUAUAGGAUGUCGGGGUGUGGGUGGGAGUCAAUAAAUGGAAUAUAUAACAGUUUGAACCAUGCUCAAUUUGCAGUGGUAGACUAUUAUACUUUGUAUAUAAAAAUGUAAUAUUAGUACUAAUUUAAUUUUAUUAAAAAGAAUAGAACAAUAUUUUCAUAUUAAAAAAUAAAACAACAAUUGCAACAACAACAUAACUUAUAUAAGAAUUUUUUUGGGAAAGAAAUGUGUGACUUGGACUUCAUUACAUGAUUUGAUAGUAAAUAGUAGUGAAUCAUUUUUGUC
rnacentral:lncRNA from 1 species